rnacentral:piRNA from 1 species
CAGAUGUUCGCUUUUAGAAGCUCAUCCAAAAG